rnacentral:rRNA from 1 species
UACGUAGGGGGCUAGCGUUGUCCGGAAUCAUUGGGCGUAAAGCGCGCGUAGGCGGCCAGAUAAGUCCGGUGUGAAAGUCACAGGCUCAACCUGUGAAUGCCGCUGGAAACUGUCUGGCUAGAGUCCGGAAGGGGAGAGUGGAAUUCCUGGUGUAGCGGUGAAAUGCGCAGAUAUCAGGAGGAACACCAAUGGCGAAGGCAGCUCGCUGGAACGGUACUGACGCUGAGGCGCGAAAGCGUGGGGAGCGAACAGG